rnacentral:lncRNA from 1 species
AAAAAUCAGAAAAUGACAGAAAAAUGCACUAAAUGACAACAGAAAUUACACGGACACACAAAAAGUCCAUGAAAAUACUUCAUGGAUUUUUAAAAACGCACAAAAAUAUUUUCAAAGCAACAACAAAAACACAAAAAUGCACAAAACGACUCCCAAAGCAACAACAAAGACCAAACCCAGUUUGUUCUUUCCUGUAUUAAUCAUCACAUUGCUCAUUAUUCUUAGAGCUAACAGGAAUGUUAAUAAUGUGGCCCUUGGAUUAGAGAAUCACAUUUUUGUGGCCCUUCUGUCAGGUCUGUAGGAACAUGUGAAGACACCACCGUGAUGUUUCCUAAUCCUAACCCAGACGCAUGUGAAACCUAUAGAACUGUUAAUGCGCUCGGAUCAGACAUGUUACUACACUAAACUUUUGCAAUCCACGUUUGUCAACAGGUUCCCACACCCAGGGCGGCUCUUUAAAAGCAUGUGUUUGGUCCCAGGAGGAGCACAGCACACUCACACACACACACACACACACACACUGAUUUCCUGUCCUUGUGGUAAACACUGUAGGGAUGAUGGCUCUGAUGAUAGCAGUACUCAUGCUCAUCGCCACUGGAACGGCCGCACAAUCAGGACACGAGCCGACCGAUGAAACCCCAGCAGAUUGACCCUGAUGCAGAUGUAUGGUCCCAGUCAUGACAUCGGUCAGCAAACGGCCUCGAUCCGACUGGAGCGCGGCGUAAAGAAUCGACUGAAAGAAUUUUUGGGGUUCGGACAGACUCCAGCACACGAUGUAGGCUUCAAACUGGAGGAUGCUUUUGCUCCAGCAAUUUGUGACAAUAACAUUGUCGGAGAAAUGGAUGAAGCCAUUAAAAAGAUGCAGAGGUGGAAGUCCUGUGUGGAAUCCCAAAUGGAGGCCUCUAAGAUGGUGAAAAAGGCAUAACGAUGAGCUGAAUGCUCUCCUGCAUUGGAUCACGAUAUGAAUAUCCUGCAAUCACUCAAACAAAUUCUUCAAAAUGUAUUCAUGACCAAUCCUGGUUGGCUCUGUAAUCAUCAAUAAAAAUGUUUGACCUGCAAAUAAU